rnacentral:rRNA from 1 species
AGUCUUUAAAAUCGAUAUCAAAAUAAAAUAGGGUUACCAAAUCCCUUUAUACUAUAUAUAACUAAGGCCUUGGUGACUUAGUAUUCCUCCACAUCCUCGGCAAUAUCCUAACUUCCUACCACAAAGGCCAGAAGAAAAGGAAUUUUAAACCGAACGCGGCCCACAGUACGUUCGGGUCACCGCGCGACAGCCCCAGUACGUUCGGGCCACUGCCGGUUGUCACACGACGAUCACGGCCCACAGUACAUUCGGGUCACCGUGAGACAGCCCCAGUACGUUCGGGCCACUGCCGGUCACUACCCCGUCGUGCAACCACUCAGCCAUAGGCCAUGACCCCGUCUCUCUGAGUGUUCUCGACCCAGCGAAUAAUAAACCCGCCAAGUACGAGGUUGAGGAAACACUAAACACUCCUACACAUGCCUAUACGGCUAAAAUAUAACUAAUACUAAACCCGGUAAUAUAAUCAAGGUUCCAAGCAAUACUCAUAAUCAACACAAUCAAUCAUAUUCUAGAAUCUAGCAUAAAGUCUAGUUCCAGAAUACCUAACUAUCCACAACCUAGCAAUAUUAUCUAAGCAAUCAACGUUCUCUAACUAACCAAUCAACCUAACGAUUAGCAUGCUACUAAGAUUCUCACGCAAUAACUAAGCAUGCUACUAACUAAUCAACCUAACCCUUACUACUAACUAAACAAACCAUUACUCAGUUUAGACCUGGCCUCCUGCCAUGAUCCAACUUCCAAGUAAUGGGAACCUGCAUGAAAACAACUUAACAAACAAUUGAUUAUAACUCACAGUUUUUGGUUCCCUGAACCCGUCUUCUGCAAUCCGAACCCUUUCUUGAACCUUCACACGUAGACCCACGUCUGAACUGAUCUUCAGUUGAGCAGAACCUUCUUCAGUUGAGCAGAACAGGUAGGGACAAGGGGAAUCCGACUGUUUAAUUAAAAACAAACAUUGCGAUGGUCCCUGCGGAUCAUAACGCAAUGUGAUUUCUGCCCAGUGCUCUGAAUGUCAAAAGGAAGAAAUUCAACCACGCGCGGGUAAACGGCGGGAGUAACUAUGAAUUUCUUAAGGUAGCCAAAUGCAUCGUCAUCUAAUUAGUGACGCGCAUGAAUGGAGUAACGAGAUUCCCACUGUCCUGUCUACUAUCCAGCGAAACCACAGCCAAGGGAACGGGCUUGGCAGAAUCAGCGGGAAAGAAGACCCUGUUGAGCUUGAUUCUAGUCCGACUUUGUGAAAAGACUUGAGAGGUGUAGAAAAAGUGGGAGCUCCGGCGCAAGUGAAAUACCACUAUUAACGUUAUUUUUCUUACUCCGUGAAUCGGAGGUGGGGUAACAACCCCUUCUUUAAGACCCAAGACUCGCUUCGGCGGGUCGAUCCGGGCAGAGGACAUUGUCAGGUGGGGAGUUUGGCUGGGGCGGCACAUCUUUUAAAAGAUAACGCAGGCGCCCUAAGAUGAGCUCAACGAAAACAGAAAUCUCAUGUGGAACAAAAAGGUAAAAGCUCGCUUGAUUCUGAUUUUAAGUAAGAAUACGAACCGUGAAAGAGUGGCCUAUCGAUCCUUUAGACCUUCAGAAUUUGAAGCUAGAGUUGUCAGAAAAGUUACCACAAGGAUAACUGGCUUGUGGCAGCCAAGCGUUCAUAGCGACGUUGCUUUUUGAUUCCUCGAUGUCGGCUCUUCCUAUCAUGUUGAAGCAGAAUUCCACCAGUGUUGGAUUGUUCAC